GUGUCGUGAGAUGUUGGGUUAAGUCCCGCAACGAGCGCAACCCUCGCCCCUAGUUGCCAGCAUUCAGUUGGGCACUCUAGGGGGACGUGCCGGCUAAAAGUCGGAGGAAGGUGGGGAUGACGUCAAAUCAUCAUGCCCCUUAUGACCUGGGCUACACACGUGCUACAAUGGGCGGUACAAAGGGCUGCGAACCCGCGAGGGGGAGCGAAUCCCAAAAAGCCGCUCUCAGUUCGGAUUGCAGGCUGCAACUCGCCUGCAUGAAGCCGGAAUCGCUAGUAAUCGCGGAUCAGCAUGCCGCGGUGAAUACGUUCCCGGGCCUUGUACACACCGCCCGUCACACCACGAGAGCUUGCAACACCCGAAGUCGGUGAGGUAACCCGCAAGGGAGCCAGCCGCCGAAGGUGGGGCAAGUGAUUGGGGUGAAGUCGUAACAAGGUAGCCGUACCGGAAGGUGCGGCUGGAUCACCU
rnacentral:rRNA from 1 species